CAGCCGCCGCGGUAAUACGUAGGGGGCGAGCGUUGUCCGGAAUUAUUGGGCGUAAAGCGCGCGCAGGCGGUCCUUUAAGUCUGAUGUGAAAGCCCACGGCUCAACCGUGGAGGGUCAUUGGAAACUGGGGGACUUGAGUGCAGGAGAGGAGAGCGGAAUUCCACGUGUAGCGGUGAAAUGCGUAGAGAUGUGGAGGAACACCAGUGGCGAAGGCGGCUCUCUGGCCUGUAACUGACGCUGAGGCGCGAAAGCGUGGGGAGCAAACAGGAUUAGAUCCCCUGGUAGUCCACGCCGUAAACGAUGAGUGCUAAGUGUUAGAGGGGUCACACCCUUUAGUGCUGCAGCUAACGCGAUAAGCACUCCGCCUGGGGAGUACGGCCGCAAGGCUGAAACUUAAAGGAAUUGGCGGG
rnacentral:rRNA from 1 species